rnacentral:rRNA from 1 species
UCGAGGGGCAGCGAGUAGAUUGCUUGCAAUCUACGUCGGCGACCGGCGCACGGGUGCGUAACGCGUAUGCAACCUACCCAUUACAGGGGGAUAACACUGAGAAAUCGGUACUAAUACCCCAUAACAUCCAGGGAGGCAUCUUCUUGGGUUGAAAACUCCGGUGGUAAUGGAUGGGCAUGCGUUGUAUUAGUUAGUUGGUGGGGUAACGGCUCACCAAGACGACGAUACAUAGGGGGACUGAGAGGUUAACCCCCCACAUUGGUACUGAGACACGGACCAAACUCCUACGGGAGGCAGCAGUGAGGAAUAUUGGUCAAUGGACGCAGGCCUGAACCAGCCAAGUCGCGUGAGGGAAGACUGCCCUAUGGGUUGUAAACCUCUUUUAUAAGGGAAGAAUAAUGACUACGUGUAGUCAGAUGCCCGUACCUUAUGAAUAAGCAUCGGCUAACUCCGUGCCAGCAGCCGCGGUAAUACGGAGGAUGCGAGCGUUAUCCGGAUUUAUUGGGUUUAAAGGGUGCGUAGGCGGUAUUUUAAGUUAGUGGUAAAACGUCGGGGCUUCACCUUGAUUGGCCAUUAAAACUGGAGUACUAGAGUACAGACGAGGUAGGCGGAAUAAGUUAAGUAGCGGUGAAAUGCUUAGAUAUAACUUAGAACCCCGAUAGCGAAGGCAGCUUACCAGACUGUUACUGACGCUGAAGCACGAGAGCGUGGGUAGCGAAC